rnacentral:rRNA from 1 species
UACGUAGGGCGCAAGCGUUGUCCGGAAUUAUUGGGCGUAAGGAGCUCGUAGGCGGUUUGUCGCGUCUGCUAUGAAAGCCCGGGGCUUAACCCCGGGUGUGCAGUGGGUACGGGCAGGCUGGAGUGCAGUAGGGGAGACUGGAAUUCCUGGUGUAGCGGUGAAAUGCGCAGAUAUCAAGAGGAACACCGAUGGCGAAGGCAGGUCUCUGGGCUGUUACUGACGCUGAGGAGCGAAAGCAUGGGGAGCGAACAGG